rnacentral:lncRNA from 1 species
AUCCAGAGCUGGUACAGCCUUCAGAGUUGUCCCUAGUUGAGGGAAGAAGAACCAGCUAUUUACGUCCCUCCAUCCGCAGUCUUAGUGGGGGACCAUCUUAUGAAGGGGUAAUCUUAGACAUGACAUCUUCUAUGGCUUAGAGCAGGGGUCUUGUUGGCCUCACUGUCUCUGUCACAACUACUUCAAUCUGCUGAUGUAGAGCAAAAGCAGCCAUAGACAAUAUGUAAACAAAGGGCAUAGCUGCGUUCCAACGAAACUUUAUGCGCUAAAACAGGUAGCCAACUCAUGGGCCAUAGUCUGCUAACCCAAGGCCUAGAGUUAUUCUCACUGAGAGGCACAGCUCUGAGACAUCAGCAGUUGAUAUUCCCGGAAGCUGGGGGAUGAGUUCUUAACCCUCAAUUGCAGGUUUGGGCAGAGCACCAUAGGUGCGCUGCAGUUCCCGCCUCGCACAUUUCGGAUCUACAUGCUUCUUAUGGAUUGAAUCACGGAACCAACAACUAUGGGUUGGAAAUGAAGGACAACAUCAUCUGAAAGCUGAGGAGAUCAUAGCAGAUUAUUUACUACUUAGGCUAUGAGUGGGAAGAAUAGAAAUGUAUGAUAAAAAAAUUACAUAAAGAAAUAUUAGAAGCUUUAGUUACUAUAUGUGCAUAUGCAUAUUAUGCAUACAUGGCAUAUAUUUCUCAUGGUGAUCAAAUACUAAAUAGAUUUCUGAUAUUACAAAAUGACAGUUCACUUAUGGAUAAUUGGAAAGGAAAUGAAAAAAUAAAUGAGAUUCCAUGAAUAUACUGAGAGUAACUUGCAGUCAGAAAUAUAAAUCAGCAUUUAGAUAUAUAUGCCACAAUGCAAUUUCAUUUUCAAUCAGCCAAAAGUAAUUGAUAAAAUUAGUUACAGUAAAAAUGAAAGUUUUUUAAAGAUAAUACCCUUUGUAAUCAUGAUGAAUUAAUAAUCAUUGGAGAUAUCUCCAAGUAAUUAUAAAAAGAUUUCCAUAAUAAAACGAAGCAAAAGUUUUGGUCAAGUUUUAGAAGUAAAAAUGUAUACAGUA